AUGUUUGAUGUUCUAACGUGGACCCGUAAUCCGGGUUGCGGACAGUGUCUGGUGGGUAGUUUGACUGGGGCGGUCUCCUCCUAAAGAGUAACGGAGGAGCACGAAGGUUGGCUAAUCCUGGUCGGACAUCAGGAGGUUAGUGCAAUGGCAUAAGCCAGCUUGACUGCGAGCGUGACGGCGCGAGCAGGUGCGAAAGCAGGUCAUAGUGAUCCGGUGGUUCUGAAUGGAAGGGCCAUCGCUCAACGGAUAAAAGGUACUCCGGGGAUAACAGGCUGAUACCGCCCAAGAGUUCAUAUCGACGGCGGUGUUUGGCACCUCGAUGUCGGCUCAUCACAUCCUGGGGCUGAAGUAGGUCCCAAGGGUAUGGCUGUUCGCCAUUUAAAGUGGUACGCGAGCUGGGUUUAGAACGUCGUGAGACAGUUCGGUCCCUAUCUGCCGUGG
rnacentral:rRNA from 1 species